AUUGAACGCUGGCGGAAUGCUUUACACAUGCAAGUCGAACGGCAGCACGGGGGCAACCCUGGUGGCGAGUGGCGAACGGGUGAGUAAUGUAUCGGAACGUGCCCAGUCGUGGGGGAUAACGUAGUGAAAAUUACGCUAAUACCGCAUACGAUCCAUGGAUGAAAGCGGGGGAUCGCAAGACCUCGCGCGAUUGGAGUGGCCGAUAUCAGAUUAGGUAGUUGGUGGGGUAAAGGCUCACCAAGCCGACGAUCUGUAGCUGGUCUGAGAGGACGACCAGCCACACUGGAACUGAGACACGGUCCAGACUCCUACGGGAGGCAGCAGUGGGGAAUUUUGGACAAUGGGCGAAAGCCUGAUCCAGCCAUUCCGCGUGCAGGAUGAAGGCCUUCGGGUUGUAAACUGCUUUUGUACGGAACGAAACGGCGAGCUCUAAUACAGUUUGCUAAUGACGGUACCGUAAGAAUAAGCACCGGCUAACUACGUGCCAGCAGCCGCAGUAAGAC
rnacentral:rRNA from 1 species